rnacentral:rRNA from 1 species
GACGAACGCUGGCGGCGUGCUUAACACAUGCAAGUCGAACGGAAAGGCCCUGCUUUUGUGGGGUGCUCGAGUGGCGAACGGGUGAGUAACACGUGAGUAACCUGCCCUUGACUUUGGGAUAACUUCAGGAAACUGGGGCUAAUACAGGAUAGGAGCUCCUGCUGCAUGGUGGGGGUUGGAAAGUUUCGGCGGUUGGGGAUGGACUCGCGGCUUAUCCGCUUGUUGGUGGGGUAGUGGCUUACCAAGGCUUUGACGGGUAGCCGGCCUGAGAGGGUGACCGGCCACAUUGGGACUGAGGUACGGCCCAGACUCCUACGGGCGGCAGCAGUGGGGAAUAUUGCACAAUGGGCGGAAGCCUGAUGCAGCAACGCCGCGUGCGGGAUGACGGCCUUCGGGUUGUAAACCGCUUUCGCCUGUGACGAAGCGUGAGUGACGGUAAUGGGUAAAGAAGCACCGGCUAACUACGUG